UACGGGGGGGAGCAAGCGUUGUUCGGAUUUACUGGGCGUAAAGGGCGCGUAGGCGGUCGUGACAAGUCACUUGUGAAAUCUCCGGGCUUAACUCGGAACGGUCAAGUGAUACUGUCGGACUAGAGUACAGAAGGGGCAACUGGAAUUCUCGGUGUAGCGGUGAAAUGCGUAGAUAUCGAGAGGAACACCUGCGGCGAAGGCGGGUUGCUGGGCUGAUACUGACGCUCAUGCACGAAAGCGUGGGGAGCAAACAGG
rnacentral:rRNA from 1 species